AGCGAACGCUGGCGGCAGGCCUAACACAUGCAAGUCGAACGAACCUUUCGGGGUUAGUGGCGGACGGGUGAGUAACACGUGGGAACGUGCCUUUAGGUUCGGAAUAACUCAGGGAAACUUGUGCUAAUACCGAAUGUGCCCUUCGGGGGAAAGAUUAAUCGCCUUUAGAGCGGCCCGCGUCUGAUUAGCUAGUUGGUUGAGGUAAUGGCUCACCAAGGCGACGAUCAGUAGCUGGUCUGAGAGGAUGAUCAGCCACAUUGGGACUGAGACACGGCCCAAACUCCUACGGGAGGCAGCAGUGGGGAAUCUUGCGCAAUGGGCGAAAGCCUGACGCAGCCAUGCCGCGUAAUGAUGAAGGUCUUAGGAUUGUAAAAUUCUUUCACCGGGGACGAUAAUGACGGUACCCGGAGAAGAAGCCCCGGCUAACUUCGUG
rnacentral:rRNA from 1 species